UACAGAGGCCUCAAGCGUUGUUCGGAUUUAUUGGGCGUAAAGGGUGCGUAGGCGGUACCGAAAGUUAGGUGUGAAAGUUCGAGGCUCAACCUCGAAAUUGCACCUAAUACUCCGGUGCUUGAGUCUCAUAGAGGAAUCUGGAAUUCACGGUGUAGCAGUGAAAUGCGCAGAUAUCGUGAAGAAGGCCUGUGGCGAAAGCAAGAUUCUGGGUGACGACUGACGCUGAGGCACGAAAGCCAGGGGGGCAAACGGG
rnacentral:rRNA from 1 species